UGCUUGUUAAGGCUGCCCUGUCUCAGAGCCCAGCAGCCCCCCUCCCUGAAGUCUGCUGAGGCCAGCAGCUGCACACAAACCAGACACUGCAAGAAGAGUCUACAGCCAUAACAAAGCAUCUUCCCCUGACUUUGUUUCCGCGGAAACUGAUGUGCGCGCAUCACUUCCUCCCGGCAAAUCCAGCGAUUCCUCACAUCUGUAGCAGGGCGAUCUUCUGACAGCACCCGUCCGCAGAGGCUAUCCUGCGACCCUAGAUGAACCUGGAAUUUUUCACAGGCUGCCUAAAGCUAACUGGGUCUUUGAGGACCGGCAGCCAUACAGAAAAAGAGGGAACAUUGCAGCCCUUUUCCCAGCAAGCUGGAGGGGGCCAGUGGGUCUUUACAUGUAUGUAUGAUGGAGCUCUCUCACAUUUCCAGCAAGUUCUGCUUCUGGAGAAGAGUCAGAGGUGGACGUUGCUGCUCUGCUGCUUCUGAAAUUCACCUCAGGAUUCAUUUCCCUUUUCUCUGACCGACAAUCUCAGUCUGUAUCAUCUUCCCCUACUUGUAAAACCCCUUGUCCCAUCAGUCCUCACUACCAUACUGAGAUUAAGAGUGAUUAAUGACUACUAUGAAGCCAGUCUAUCCGAUUGGCUCGUUAUAAGGCCACACUUUGUUCAAAUGUGCAGAAAGUAGCCCUUAAGGGCCCUAAUUCUCGCUCCGUAUCGCGUGCGGAGCUCAUCAUGGCAGCAGGUGAGAAGCCUCAAGGCUGAGCUCUGAAAUGCUUCCCCCAGAAAGCACAGAGCAAAUUUUUACACCGGAUUUUUACUCUCCCUUUCUGUACAUGUGUUUAAUCACCAUUAUCUCCAUUGUGCAAUCGACCAGACGCCUUCCAUCUGAUCUAUGUUGAAUCAUUCAUUGCCUAAUCGAUCCCAUUUCGCCCUGGAAGAAAUAUGGGAAUGUUCUGAUUAUCGUUUCGCAUUACUAGUCAAAGAGAAAGUGACCAUGAGUGAUUCUAGAGUUUUGUAGUGUUACCUGAAAGGGGCACAUUAUAACUGCGACUGUGACGUCUUUUGUUGGCAUAUUUUUCUGUAAUACAUCACCACCACCCGUUCUAUCUAUCUAUCUGUCUUUCUGUCUGACUGUCUGUCUGUCUCUUGAUUGGUGAGAAACGGAAGCACAUAAAUACUAUAGGUAUCGCA